rnacentral:rRNA from 1 species
CGGGUGAGUAACGCGUGGGUAACCUGCCUUGUACAGGGGGAUAACAGUUGGAAACGGCUGCUAAUACCGCAUAAGCGCACGGCAUCGCAUGAUGCAGUGUGAAAAACUCCGGUGGUAUAAGAUGGACCCGCGUUGGAUUAGCUAGUUGGUGAGGUAACGCCCACCAAGGCGACGAUCCAUAGCCGACCUGAGAGGGUGACCGGCCACAUUGGGACUGAGACACGGCCCAA